AUUGAACGCUGGCGGCAGGCCUAACACAUGCAAGUCGAGCGAGCGGCGGACGGGUGAGUAAUGUCUGGGUAACUGCCUGAUGGAGGGGGAUAACUACUGGAAACGGUAGCUAAUACCGCAUACCAUCAGAUGUGCCCAGAUGGGAUUAGUUAGUAGGUGGGGUGACGGCUCACCUAGGCGCCGGUCCCUAGCUGGUUUGAGAGGAUGACCAGCCACACUGGAACGGGGACACGGUCCAGACUCCUACGGGAGGCAGCAGUGGGGAAUAUUGCACAAUGGGCGCAAGCCGGAUGCAGCCAUGCCGAGUGUAUGAAGAAGGCCUUCGGGUUGUAAAGCACUUUCAGCGGGGAGGCGUUACCCGCAGAAGAAGCACCGGCUAACUCCGUGCCAGCAGCCGCGGUAAUAC
rnacentral:rRNA from 1 species